rnacentral:rRNA from 1 species
UACGUAGGGUGCAAGCGUUGUCCGGAAUUAUUGGGCGUAAAGGGCUCGUAGGCGGUCCAUCGCGUCGGGAGUGAAAAGCUGGGGCUCAACCCCAGUCCUGCUUCCGAUACGGGUGGACUAGAGGUAGGCAGGGGAGAACGGAAUCCUGGUGUAGCGGUGAAAUGCGCAGAUAUCAGGAGGAACACCGGUGGCGAAGGCGGUUCUCUGGGCCUUACCUGACGCUGAGACGCGAAAGCGUGGGGAGCGAACAGG